rnacentral:lncRNA from 1 species
GGCCAGGCUGGUCUCGAGCUCCUGACGUCAAGUGAUUUGCCUGCUUCGGCGUCCCAAAAUCCUGGGAUUACAGGCCUGAGCCACCAUGCCUGGCCUGUCCUCAUUUGUUUAUCCAUCUCAUUUUUUGUCCUUCUCACCAAAGAUAUGUUGCUUUGUCUUGUGGGGUUUUUUUCAUGUGGAUUCCUGAACCCCAUCCAGCCCCUUGUCCCCUCCUCAGCCAGCUCACACUCUUUUGCACAGCUCCUGGGACUCCUGUUGACACACAGGGAACAGCCACCCACAGUGGACUGCACUGUUCUGUUUGCACCCUUAAAUUUAUCGUGCUUACAGAAUGACACUUCUGCAAACUAGUCAAGUAGGGGGAGGUGGUUUGUGGAUAUGCACCCUUGUUCAUUCUCUUUGAAAAGGUAACCAGCUCUGAAUUCUUUCUCCUUUGAGGAGGAGUUUCACUUGUCGCCCAGGCUGGAGUGUAGUGGUGCAAUCUUGACUCACUGCUACCUCCGCCUCCCAGGUUCAAGCAAUUCUCCUGCAUCAGCCUCCCAAGUAGCUUGGAUUACAGGCAUGCACCACCAUGCUCACCUAAUUUUUUUUUUUUUUUUUUUAGUAGAGAUGAGGUUUCACCAUGUUGUUCAGGCUGGUCUUGAACUUUUGACCUCAAGCGAUCCACCUGCCUUGGCCUCCCAAAGUGCUGGAAUUACAGGCAUGAGCCACCAUGCCCAGCCCCAGUUCUGAAUUCUUAAGAAACUCGAGAGAGUCUAGGAUCCACCUCUGAUGUUCAGUGAAGAGUACCGGAAAAGUCUGCUAGAGCAGUACCAUCUGGGUCUGGAUCAAAAACGCAGAAAAUACGUGGUUGGAGAGCUCAUCUGGAAUUUUGCGGAUUUCAUGACUAACCAGUCCAAGGAGGAAGGAAAAACUGGACCUCAUUAUGGAUUUACUUUUGGGAUACACUCAUUAUUCCAGAGGAGGGUAAAAGGCUGAGAAGCUUAAGCUUGGUCCUAAAUGUGAGACAAUUGUGAAA